UUACUCACUUCUGUGCUCCCUGAUCAUCUCUUUGUCGAUACCAGCGAUCAUUGCCAAAGCCCUGUUGCCUGUGGAAAAGGUGAUGUUUGACUUUCUUGUGCUGCUGCAGUUUGUAUGAUGAAGGUGCUCCCACAAUGCGGUUAUUUGAAAAGUUACAGAUCAUUCAUCUAGCGAUACUGAAGAGCUGAUGGUGAUAUUACAAGUGGACUUUCAGGUGGGAAUCUCAAUAAUUGUAACACCAAACUCUGACAGAAUUACUCAAUUCAUCAGGACCUGGAUAUUCGCAUUGUGUGUGAGUAUUGUGUUCCUGCUCAUUCCCAUUUGCCGUGUAAAAUUUCUCUCUUAAAUCACCCCAUUCUCUCAAUAGAUCUUCCCUAAAACUUUCAAUAUGUGUCCUGUAAUCCUUUUUUAUGAUCAGUUGAUGAGUAUACGUUUUAUCAUCCAUAUGUAUAUCUUUUGUAAACACCUCUAUCAAAGGUCCCCUCAAAUUCCUUUGUUACAAGGAGAACAAUCUCAGUUUCCCCAAACACCUGAUUCCCCAAUGACUGUUUGCUGUCUAUAAGGCACUCAUCCGGAUUGUGUUGGAACAUUUUCCACUUACCCGCAUCAGUGCAGCCCCAACAAUAUUAAAGAAACUGAACAUCCUCCAGAUGAAGCACUGUGUCAGAGUGGUGUCCCAUCCACCACAUUCAACAUGCCCCC